UAUCUCUGUAGAGUCUGCAUAUCAAUAAGCGGAGGAAAAGAAACUAACUAGGAUUCCCUCAGUAACGGCGAGUGAAGCGGGAAGAGCUCAAAUUUGAAAUCUUCAAGGUUCUACCUUGACGAAUUGUAGUUUAAAGAAGUGUUUUCUGUUGGAGUUUUGGUAAAAGCUCUUUGGAAUAGGACAUCAUAGAGGGUGAGAAUCCCGUAUUUGACCAUUAUUUCCAGCUUUGUGAUACACUUUCAAAGAGUCGGAUUGUUUGGGAAUGCAGUCCAAAAUGGGUGGUAAAUUUCAUCUAAAGCUAAAUAUUGGCGAGAGACCGAUAGCGAACAAGUACCGUGAGGGAAAGAUGAAAAGAACUUUGAAAAGAGAGUUAAACAGUACGUGAAAUUGUCAAAAGGGAAGCGUUUGACACCAGUGUUGUUUUCUCGAAAAUCCAAUUAAAAAUGGCUAGGGAUUUUGUGUUGUAUUGACUUUAUCAGCUUUCUGCACUCUUUUCCUUAUCUUUUUUAAUGCACUUUUCGUUUAACAAGUCAACAUCAAUUUCUUUUGUUGUAAAAGAGUCAUUGGAAGGUGGCUUUCUUUUCGGAGAAAGUGUUUAUAGCCUUUGGCCUCUGCAAUCGGAGAGAUUGAGGUCUGCAGGCGUAGAUCCUUCGGGGUUAGAUACAUUUGUGCUAAGUUAUAGCCUUUCAUAGACAACUUGUUGACUAUGAUCAGUCAUGUAGCUUACUCGCUUAUGCUAUUUUACCUACGCUUAGGAUGUUGAGUCAUCACACAUCUCU
rnacentral:rRNA from 1 species